rnacentral:rRNA from 1 species
ACGGAAGGCAGCAGUGGGGAAUAUUGCACAAUGGGCGAAAGCCUGAUGCAGCGACGCCGCGUGGGUGAUGAAAUAUUUCGGUAUGUAAAGCCCUAUCAGCAGGGAAGAUAAUGACGGUACCUGACUAAGAAGCCCCGGCUAAAUACGUGCCAGCAGCCGCGGUAAUACGUAUGGGGCAAGCGUUAUCCGGAUUUACUGGGUGUAAAGGGAGCGCAGGCGGUUUUACAAGUCUGGUGUGAAAGCCCGGGGCUCAACCCCGGGACUGCACCGGAAACUGUAGGACUAGAGUAUCGGAGGGGCAAGCGGAAUUCCUAGCGUAGCGGUGAAAUGCGUAGAUAUUAGGAGGAACACCGGUGGCGAAGGCGGCUUGCUGGACGAAAACUGACGCUGAGGCUCGAAAGCGUGGGGAGCAAACAGGAUUAGAUACCCUGGUA